GCUGGCGUCGUCCAACGGCAAAGACGCUGGUUUCGUAGUCCAGAAAUGUCGGUUCGAUUCCGUCCGCCAGCU
rnacentral:tRNA from 1 species